rnacentral:rRNA from 1 species
UACGUAGGGUCCGAGCGUUGUCCGGAAUUAUUGGGCGUAAAGGGCUCGUAGGCGGUUUGUCGCGUCGGGGAGUGAAAACUCAGGGCUCAACCCUGAGCGUGCUUCCGAUACGGGCAGACUAGAGGUAUGCAGGGGAGAACGGAAUUCCUGGUGUAGCGGUGGAAUGCGCAGAUAUCAGGAGGAACACCGGUGGCGAAGGCGGUUCUCUGGGCAUUACCUGACGCUGAGGAGCGAAAGCAUGGGGAGCGAACAGG